UAUUGGUGAGUUCGAUCAUGGCUCAGAUUGAACGCUGGCGGGAUGUUUUAUACACAUGCAAGUCGAACGGCAGCACGGACUCUUCGGUCUGGUGGCGAGUGGCGAAACGGGCGAGUAAUGUAUCGGAACGCCUAGUGAAGCGGGGGAUAACUACGCGAAAGCGAAGCACACGUAAUAAUGCCCUUCGGGGGAAAGCGGGGGGACCUUUCGGGCCUCGCACUAUUAGAGCGGCCGAUAUCGGAUUAGCUAGUUGGUGGGGUAACGGCUCACCAAGGCGACGAUCCGUAGCCAGUCGGAGGAGGACGACCAGCCACACUGACGAUAUCACCAGAUUCCUCCACGGAGGCGUGGUGAAUUUAACAGAACCCUGAUCCAGCCGUAACCCGGUGGCGAUGAUGCCUGGACAGGAAAAGCAUUUGCAGAAACGGCACGGGCGUCGUCCCGUGCAACCGACGGUACCCUGCAGAAUAAGCACCGGCUACGUGCCAGCAGCCGCGGUAAUAUGCAGGGGUGCAAGCGUUAAUCGAACUACAUUGGGCGUAAAGCGUGCGCAGGCGGUUCGGAAAGAAAGAUGAAAUCCCAGAGCUUAACUUUGGAACUGCAUUUUGAAACUACCGAGCUAGAGUGUGUCAGAGGAGAAUUCCGCGUGUAGCAGUGAAAUGCGUAGAUAUGCGGAGGAACACCGAUGGCGAAGGCAGCCUCUGAUAACAUCGCUCAUGCACGAAAGUGGGGAGCAAACAGGAUUAGAUACUCCUGGCGUGAGUCUCACGCCCUAAACGAUGUCAACUAGCUGUUGGGGCCUGGCCUUGGUAGCGCAGCUAAUGCGGUGAAGUUGACCGCCUGGGGAGUAUGGUCGCAAGAUUAAAACUCAAAGGAAUUGACGGGGGGCGCGCCGCCACACACACAGAGAGACCAAAAAGGCAGGAUGAUGUGGGAUUAAUCUUGAUGCAACGCGAAAACCUUACCUACCCUUGACAUGUCUGGAAUCCCGAAGAGAUUUGGAGUGGCUCGGCAAGAGAACCGGAACACAGGUGCUGCAUGGCUGUCGUCAGCUCGUGUCGUGAGAUGUUGUCUCGCAACGAGCGCAACCCUUUGUCAUUAGUUGCUGAGGAAAGGGCACCCCCACGAGACUGCCGGUGACAAAACCGGAGGAAGGAUGACGUCAAGUCCUCAUGGCCUCUUACGGGUAGGGCUUCAUUAUCGUCAUACACAAUGGUCGGGACAGAGGGUCGCUAACCCGCGAGGGGGAGCCAAUCCCAGAAACCCGAUCGUAGUCCGGAUCGGGUAGUCUGCAACUCGACUGCGUGAAGUUUGAAUCGCUAGUAAUCGCGGAUCAGCAUGUCGCGGUGAAUACGUUCCCGGGUCUGUACACACCGCCCGUCACACCAUGGGAGUGGGUUUCUACCAGAAGUAGUUAGCCUAACCGUAAGGGGAGUGGAAGGGAUUACCACGGUAGGAUUCAAUGAUCGGGGUGAAGUCGUAACAAGGUAG
rnacentral:rRNA from 1 species